GUACUGAUGAAGGGUCCAAAAACAGGACGAAACAGCUGUCCAGUAU
rnacentral:hammerhead_ribozyme from 1 species